rnacentral:rRNA from 3 species
GAAGGUGGGGCAGAUGAUUGGGGUGAAGUCGUAACAAGGUAGCCGUAUCGGAAGGUGCGGCUGGAUCACCUCCUUUCUAAGGA